CCUACGGGCCGCACCAGUGGGGAAUAUUGCACAAUGGGCGCAAGCCUGAUGCAGCCAUGCCGCGUGUGUGAAGAAGGCCUUCGGGUUGUAAAGCACUUUCAGCGGGGAGGAAGGCGAUAAGGUUAAUAACCUUGUCGAUUGACGUUACCCGCAGAAGAAGCACCGGCUAACUCCGUGCCAGCAGCCGCGGUAAUACGGAGGGUGCAAGCGUUAAUCGGAAUUACUGGGCGUAUAGCGCACGCAGGCGGUCUGUCAAGUCGGAUGUGAAAUCCCCGGGCUCAACCUGGGAACUGCAUUCGAAACUGGCAGGCUAGAGUCUUGUAGAGAGGGGUAGAAUUCCAGGUAUAGCGGUGAAAUGCGUAGAGAUCUGGAGGAAUACCGGUGGCGAAGGCGGCCCCCUGGACAAAGACUGACGCUCAGGUGCGAAAGCGUGGGGAGCAAACAGGAUUAGAUACCCCAGUAGUC
rnacentral:rRNA from 1 species